ACUCCUACGGGAGGCAGCAGUGGGGAAUAUUGGACAAUGGGCGCAAGCCUGAUCCAGCCAUGCCGCGUGAGUGAUGAAGGCCCUAGGGUUGUAAAGCUCUUUCACCGGUGAAGAUAAUGACGGUAACCGGAGAAGAAGCCCCGGCUAACUUCGUGCCAGCAGCCGCGGUAAUACGACGGGGGCUAGCGUUGUUCGGAUUUACUGGGCGUAAAGCGCACGUAGGCGGACUAUUAAGUCAGGGGUGAAAUCCCGGGGCUCAACCCCGGAACUGCCUUUGAUACUGGUAGGCUUGAGUGCGAGAGAGGUGAGUGGAAUUCCGAGUGUAGAGGUGAAAUUCGUAGAUAUUCGGAGGAACACCAGUGGCGAAGGCGGCUCACUGGCUCGAUACUGACGCUGAGGUGCGAAAGCGUGGGGAGCAAACAGGAUUAGAAACCCGGGUAGUCCC
rnacentral:rRNA from 1 species